rnacentral:rRNA from 1 species
UGAAGAGUUUGAUCAUGGCUCAGAUUGAACGCUGGCGGCAGGCCUAACACAUGCAAGUCGAACGGUAACAUUUCUAGCUUGCUAGAAGAUGACGAGUGGCGGACGGGUGAGUAAUACUUAGGGAUCUGCCCCGGGGUGGGGGACAACCAUUGGAAACGAUGGCUAAUACCGCAUAACGUCUACGGACCAAAGUGGGCUUCGGCUCACGCCCUGGGAUGAACCUAAGCGAGAUUAGCUUGUUGGUGAGGUAACGGCUCACCAAGGCGACGAUCUCUAGCUGUUCUGAGAGGAAGAUCAGCCACACUGGGACUGAGACACGGCCCAGACUCCUACGGGAGGCAGCAGUGGGGAAUAUUGGACAAUGGGCGCAAGCCUGAUCCAGCCAUGCCGCGUGUGUGAAGAAGGCCUUCGGGUUGUAAAGCACUUUCAGUGAGGAGGAAAGGUUAAAGGUUAAUACCCGUUAGCUGUGACGUUACUCACAGAAGAAGCACCGGCUAACUCCGUGCCAGCAGCCGCGGUAAUACGGAGGGUGCAAGCGUUAAUCGGAAUUACUGGGCGUAAAGCGCACGCAGGCGGUUUGUUAAGCUAGAUGUGAAAGCCCCGAGCUCAACUUGGGAUGGUCAUUUAGAACUGGCAGACUAGAGUCUUGGAGAGGGGAGUGGAAUUCCAGGUGUAGCGGUGAAAUGCGUAGAUAUCUGGAGGAACAUCAGUGGCGAAGGCGGCUCUCUGGCCAAAAACUGACGCUCAUGUGCGAAAGCGUGGGUAGCGAACAGGAUUAGAUACCCUGGUAGUCCACGCCGUAAACGCUGUCUACUAGCUGUAUGCGGAUUCAUUUCUGUGUGUAGCGAAGCUAACGCGCUAAGUAGACCGCCUGGGGAGUACGGCCGCAAGGUUAAAACUCAAAUGAAUUGACGGGGGCCCGCACAAGCGGUGGAGCAUGUGGUUUAAUUCGAUGAUACGCGAGGAACCUUACCAGGGCUUAAAUGUAGUGUGACAGGGGCAGAGAUGCCUUUUUCUUCGGACACAUUACAAGGUGCUGCAUGGUUGUCGUCAGCUCGUGCCGUGAGGUGUCAGGUUAAGUCCUAUAACGAGCGCAACCCCUGUUGUUAGUUACCAGCACAUUAUGGUGGGGACUCUAACAAGACUGCCGGUGCAAACCGUGAGGAAGGUGGGGAUGACGUCAAAUCAUCACGGCCCUUACGUCCUGGGCUACACACGUGCUACAAUGGUAGGUACAGAGAGCAGCCACUACGCAAGUAGGCGCGAAUCUACAAAACCUAUCUCAGUUCGGAUCGGAGUCUGCAACUCGACUCCGUGAAGUCGGAAUCGCUAGUAAUCGCGUAACAGCAUGACGCGGUGAAUACGUUCCCGGGCCU